rnacentral:rRNA from 1 species
GACGAACGCUGGCGGCGUGCCUAACACAUGCAAGUCGAGCGGAGACAGAGACUUCGGUUUCUGUUUUAGCGGCGGACGGGUGAGUAACGCGUGAGCAACCUUUCUCUUACUGGGGAAUAACACAGGGAAACUUGUACUAAUACCGCAUGAGACCACAGAGGGGCAUCCUUCAGGGGUCAAAGAUUUAUCGGUAAGAGGUGGGCUCGCGUCUGAUUAGAUAGUUGGUGGGGUAACGGCCUACCAAGUCGACGAUCAGUAGCCGACCUGAGAGGGUGAUCGGCCACAUUGGGACUGAGACACGGCCCAAACUCCUACGGGAGGCAGCAGUGGGGAAUAUUGGGCAAUGGGGGAAACCCUGACCCAGCAACGCCGCGUGGAGGAAGAAGGUUUUCGGAUCGUAAACUCCUGUCCUCAGGGAAGAGCAGAAGACGGUACCUGAGGAGGAAGCCCCGGCUAACUACGUG